ACUACCACCAAACCUUAGUGUCGCAUUAUUGGUUUCGAAGAUGCCGUAUUUGCCUAUUGUUAGAUGCUUUCAUCUUCAUCCUCUUGUAGACUUGGACCCACAUCAUCAUCAUAUUUGACAUUUACAGAAUCUUAACGGAUAAGAAUGAUAUUCGGCUUGGCUUAAUAAGAAUACUUCUUGUGGUUUCACUGGGAUUAUAUACAUUUUCACAUAGAGACAGAGAAGAGAGAGAAGAGAGAGAGAUGCUGGUGUCCCUUGGCAUCCUCCAAAAGCCAUAUUAAGGUAUUAAGUAUAUAAAUGCAAGGGACUUGUUAAUGAAUAUGGAUAAGGAAGAGGGAUAAGGGGAGAAUAUAUAGGAGGAAGAAGAAAAAGACA